UAAGGAUAAUGUAUUUGUUCCCUUCAGGUAUCUGCCACUGCAGCUGACGUUGAGACAACUCUCAGUCUUCCUGCAAGUCCUCGCCUGAUACCUGGCACUUCAUUGAUAUAAAUCAAGAGAGAGGAACAAAUGCCAAAAUCAUCAGACAAGAUUGUCUCUAAGAAGAAAGGUGUGAUCGUCCAGAAGUCGUCUUCUGCAGUUAAAUACACACGUGGCCAUGCUACUGAAGAAUCUCCUUGACUUUUUAAUGGAACUUCAUAUAGAUCGUGGCAGCACUGGAAUAAUGCUGCAGAGAGGAACAGCGGCUACUAAAGUGAUGAUCGUCUUUUCUGGAUCCACAAGAACUAAGAUGUAAAAACACAAACCUACCUCACAGGACAAUUUUAAGAGGUAACCUGCAAGUCUAGCUUGCAGUGGCACAUGUGCCUAUACGGUUUCAUCCUAAAUGUUUUUUAUGCUUAUUAUUGAUACAU